GAAAUGCGAUAAGUAAUGUGAAUUGCAGAAUUCAGUGAAUCAUCGAAUCUUUGAACGCACCUUGCGCUCCUUGGUAUUCCUUGGAGCAUGCCUGUUUGAGUAUCAUGAAAUCUUCAAAGUAAAUCUUUUGUUAACUCAAUUGGUUUCUACUUGGUAUUGGAGGUCUUUGCAGCUUCACACCUGCUCCUCUUUGUUCAUUAGCUGGAUCUCAGUGUUAUGCUUGGUUCCACUCGGCGUGAUAAGUUAUCUAUCGCUGAGGACACUGUAAAAGGUGGCCAAGGUAAAUGCAGAUGAACCGCUUCUAAUAGUCCAUUGACUUGGACAAUACUUUUAUGAUCUGAUCUCAAAUCAGGUAGGACUACCCGCUGAACUUAAGC
rnacentral:misc_RNA from 1 species